UACAGAGGUGGCAAGCGUUGUUCGGAAUUACUGGGCGUAAAGGGCGCGUAGGCGGCCUUCUAAGUCAGACGUGAAAUCCCCCGGCUUAACCUGGGAACUGCGUCUGAUACUGGGAGGCUUGAGUAUGGGAGAGGGAUGUAGAAUUCCAGGUGUAGCGGUGAAAUGCGUAGAUAUCUGGAGGAAUACCGGUGGCGAAGGCGGCAUCCUGGACCAUAACUGACGCUGGGGCGCAAAAGCUAGGGGAGCAAACGGG
rnacentral:rRNA from 1 species